UACGGGGGGAGCAAGCGUUGUUCGGAUUUACUGGGCGUAAAGGGCGCGUAGGCGGCGUGACAAGUCACUUGUGAAAUCUCCGGGCUUAACUCGGAACGGUCAAGUGAUACUGUCGUGCUAGAGUACAGAAGGGGGCAACUGGAAUUCUCGGUGUAGCGGUGAAAUGCGUAGAUAUCGAGAGGAACACCUGCGGCGAAGGCGGGUUGCUGGGCUGAUACUGACGCUGAGGCGCGAAAGCUAGGGGAGCGAACGGG
rnacentral:rRNA from 1 species